rnacentral:misc_RNA from 1 species
GAAAAGGAAAAGGAAAAGGAAAAAUCGUCUCCAAACUUUCAAGACAACAUUCAUCGUCUGAGUUCAUAUUCAUGUUUUCUAUAAAGUCUUUUCUCAAUUCUCAUCGUCAUGGCAAUUGCAGAUAAAGAAUUUAUUUUUCUGCGCAAUAAUUACUCUUCUUCUAAGGUAUAAUAAGGACUCAUUUAAAAUCAAUUUUGAAAGUACAAAAAUGAUCUAUACUUCAUAAGCUGCUAUUUG